UACGGGGGGGGCAAGCGUUGUUCGGAAUUACUGGGCGUAAAGGGCUCGUAGGCGGCCAACUAAGUCAGACGUGAAAUCCCUCGGCUUAACCGGGGAACUGCGUCUGAUACUGGAUGGCUUGAGAUUGGGAGAGGGAUGCGGAAUUCCAGGUGUAGCGGUGAAAUGCGUAGAUAUCAGGAGGAACACCGGUGGCGAAGGCGGCUAUCUGGACAGAGUCUGACGCUGAGGCGCGAAAGCUAGGGGAGCAAACAGG
rnacentral:rRNA from 1 species